rnacentral:rRNA from 1 species
AGUUUGAUCCUGGCUCAGAACGAACGCUGGCGGCAUGCCUAACACAUGCAAGUCGAACGAAGGCUUCGGCCUUAGUGGCGCACGGGUGCGUAACGCGUGGGAAUCUGCCCUUGGGUUCGGAAUAACAGCGGGAAACUGCUGCUAAUACCGGAUGAUGUCGAUAAGACCAAAGAUUUAUCGCCUGAGGAUGAGCCCGCGUUGGAUUAGGUAGUUGGUGGGGUAAAGGCCUACCAAGCCGACGAUCCAUAGCUGGUCUGAGAGGAUGAUCAGCCACACUGGGACUGAGACACGGCCCAGACUCCUACGGGAGGCAGCAGUGGGGAAUAUUGGACAAUGGGCGAAAGCCUGAUCCAGCAAUGCCGCGUGAGUGAUGAAGGCCUUAGGGUUGUAAAGCUCUUUUACCCGGGAUGAUAAUGACAGUACCGGGAGAAUAAGCCCCGGCUAACUCCGUGCCAGCAGCCGCGGUAA